GACGAACCGUGCGAACGUUGUUCGGAUUCACUGGGCUUAAAGGGCGCGUAGGCGGGCAACCAAGUCAGGGGUGAAAUCUUUCGGCUCAACCGGAAAACAGCCCCUGAUACUGGUCGUCUGGAGGGAGGUAGGGGUCUGUGGAACUUCUGGUGGAGCGGUGAAAUGCGUAGAUAUCAGAAGGAACGCCGGUGGCGAAAGCGACGGACUGGACCUUCUCUGACGCUGAGGCGCGAAAGCUAGGGGAGCAAACGGG
rnacentral:rRNA from 1 species